AGAUGAGCUGACAGACCCUGGCUGAGCAGGAAGUGGCAGGGUCAGGAAAAGCUAGGCCACAAGUUUUCCCUUGAGAGCCUUAGGUGUCUUUGUGAAGCUUCCUAUCUUUGCUUUUCAACUAAGAUGAAACAGCAUUUAAAAGAAAAUGCCAUGUGAGAUGAGAUCAGGAGAAUGGAUUCUUUCUUUCAUCUGAAUAGAGAGCUGCUGUUCGAGAUUCUAACUCAAAUAGCUCAAAGGACACCUUCUCCGGGAAACCUUCCCUGACUUCCGACGCUGUUUCCUGUUUUGCAGGAAAGAAUACACAAGCUCAGAAUCUCUUGGGCUGAGUGACAAAGGAGGAAAAGGGAUGGUUCCAAGUAGGAUUGGAGCUUCUGCUUCCUCACUUCCUCACGUAGCUCCAUCUGCCUCUUCAGAGAGCUCCCAUCUCCCACUGUGUGCAGCUGAGUUCCAAGCACUCCUGGCGGCAUAAUGACUGGGACAAAGAUAUUUCCUGCAGUUGUCAAUGGUGCUCCUAUACUGAAACUCUCCUAGGAACUUGGCCAAAUCUUCCUGCUCCCCAUCCCUGAUUUCUGUGAACAAGAGGGAAGACUUUGUCACACUUCUCAUUGGUGAUCAUAUUAAUUUCUAGGCCAUGUGUAUCUAGAUAUGAAAUAAUAUUUCUGUUAUUUUAAAAUAUAAGAUCCUUGGAAGAUGUCAUCUAUUGGAACAUGUAACUAUAUAGCCAGAAGAGGAGAUCACUAGAGCCAGACUGCUCUGUCUACAUACUUAAAAAGACAUUUGGAGGAAGAGAGCAUCUGCAAAUGUUGAUGAAAAUGGGUUUGGAACUUCUCUUUUGAUCAGGAAAUAGGUAGACCAUAAAAUGUCUGAUGCAUGUUGCUGCCUGAAGCAAACCCACAAUCUGGAACCCAGUCAUCUUGUUGCUCUAGAAAGCAUCAAGAGAAAAUGGAAGAAGGCUUAAAAGGCCCAUCACAUUUUAAUCUCUAUGGUUGGAUUAAUCAAAAGUUUUCAUAGUUUUACUAAAGAAAAAUGAGUGGUCAUUUAUACUUCAUCUCUAACAAGAAACUUUUUUGUCCAGUGCUCAAAAAUACAUAUGCUAUUAUGCUAUAGU
rnacentral:lncRNA from 1 species